AAGAAGGUGGCAGAGUGGUCAUGCGGUUAACUUGAAAUUAACCUAUGUGGGUUCAAUUCCCCCUUUUCUUG
rnacentral:tRNA from 2 species